rnacentral:rRNA from 1 species
UACGAGGGGGGCAAGCGUUGUUCGGAAUUACUGGGCGUAAAGGGCUCGUAGGCGGCCAACUAAGUCCGACGUGAAAUCCCCAAGCUUAACUUGGGAACUGCGUCGGAUACUGGAUGGCUUGAAUUCGGGAGAGGGAUGCAGAAUUCCAGGUGUAGCGGUGAAAUGCGUAGAUAUCUGGAGGAAUACCGGUGGCGAAGGCGGCAUCCUGGACCGACAUUGACGCUGAGGAGCGAAAGCUAGGGGAGCAAACGGG